rnacentral:rRNA from 1 species
UACGUAGGGUGCGAGCGUUACUCGGAAUUACUGGGCGUAAAGCGUGCGCAGGCGGUUCGUGAUGUCUGGUGUGAAAGCCCCGGGCUUAACCUGGGAAUUGCAUUGGAAACUAGCGGGCUGGAGUGUGGCAGAGGGGGGUGGAAUUCCACGUGUAGCAGUGAAAUGCGUAGAGAUGUGGAGGAACACCGAUGGCGAAGGCAGCCCCCUGGGCUAACACUGACGCUCAUGCACGAAAGCGUGGGGAGCAAACAGG